rfam:Glycine soja cultivar W05 scaffold5771_5, whole genome shotgun sequence.
CGAAAUGAUGAUUGUUAUAGUGGCCCCAGUCUUAAUUUGCACCACACGGUGUAAUAUGGUGAUUGACAUUCUUAUCUGAUCC